rnacentral:sRNA from 1 species
AUCUAGCCCCGAUGGGAGGGAAAAUCUUUUUGUGCCGGUGUUCGGCGCAAAAAAUUGGAAGGAACAGCGGGACGGGUC